rnacentral:lncRNA from 1 species
CCAGUUGAUGAUUUAAAUGCUACGACGAUGUUGGUUAGAACAGAAUUUGAAGGAAACACUAUUGCUUGAUUGUUACUGGUAAUAAUUAUUUAUGAUGUAUAUAUUUUGCAUUAAUUAUUGUGUUAUUUUACUCCAUAUAUUAACUGAUUCUAUCUUUUAUUUAUAUAAAUGCUAGGUGACAUCAUGCGUCGCAGGGGACGAUAUGCUGGUGUGCAGUUCCAGUUUUCACAGACAGAAGCCGGUACGUCUUCUUCAGCACAGCAGCCUGAGGCCAGUUCAGCUGCACAGCAUUCUGAGCCCUGUCCUUCAUCAUCAGCACAGCACGAUCCUCCUANN